AUUGAACGCUGGCGGAAUGCUUUACACAUGCAAGUCGAACGGUAGAGGGGGCAACCCCUUGAGAGUGGCGAACGGGUGAGUAAUAUAUCGGAACGUGCCCAGUCGUGGGGGAUAACGUAGCGAAAGUUACGCUAAUACCGCAUACGAUCUAAGGAUGAAAGCGGGGGAUCGCAGGACCUCGCGCGACUGGAGCGGCCGAUAUCAGAGUAGGUAGUUGGUAGGGUAAAGGCCUACCAAGCCAACGAUCUGUAGAUGGUCUGAGAGGACGACCAGCCACACUGGAACUGAGACACGGUCCAGACUCCUACGGGAGGCAGCAGUGGGGAAUGUUGGACAAUGGGCGAAAGCCUGAUCCAGCCAUUCCGCGUGCAGGAUGAAGGCCCUCGGGUUGUAAACUGCUUUUGUACAGAACGAAAAGGUUUCUAUUAAUACGAGGAGCUCAUGACGGUACUGUAAGAAUAAGCACCGGCUAACUACGUG
rnacentral:rRNA from 1 species